GUGUGUGUGUGAAGAAAAGGUAGAAAAAAAGAGGAAAGAGAGAAAGAAGAAAAAGAGAAUCCUGAGAGUGAAAGGAAAAAGAAGAAAACGUGGAGAGAGAGAAAAGGAGGAAAGAGAGAAGAGAGAAAAAAAAGAAAAGCAAGAAAGGAAAAGAAGUGGAAAGAGAAGAAAAAAAAGAAGAAAAAGAAAAAUGAAAAUAAAAUCAAGUGGUACUCCACCAAUGGCUAAAGGAGGUUUUUUUUUUAAAUAAAAACAAAUGAC
rnacentral:lncRNA from 1 species